CUAGGUAGCUCAGUUGGUAGAGCAGCGGACUGAAAAUCCGCGUGUCGCCGGUUCGAUCCCGGCCUUGGCC
rnacentral:tRNA from 2 species